rnacentral:rRNA from 1 species
AACGAACGCUGGCGGCAGGCUUAACACAUGCAAGUCGAGCGCCCCGCAAGGGGAGCGGCAGACGGGUGAGUAACGCGUGGGAAUCUACCCAUCUCUACGGAAUAACGCAUGGAAACGUGUGCUAAUACCGUAUACGUCCUUCGGGAGAAAGAUUUAUCGGAGAUGGAUGAGCCCGCGUUGGAUUAGCUAGUUGGUGGGGUAAAGGCCUACCAAGGCGACGAUCCAUAGCUGGUCUGAGUGGAUGAUCAGCCACACUGGGACUGAGACACGGCCCAGACUCCUACGGGAGGCAGCAGUGGGGAAUAUUGGACAAUGGGCGCAAGCCUGAUCCAGCCAUGCCGCGUGAGUGAUGAAGGCCCUAGGGUUGUAAAGCUCUUUCACCGGUGAAGAUAAUGACGGUAACCGGAAAAGAAGCCCCGGCUAACUUCGUGCCAGCCGCCGCGGUAAGAC